rnacentral:lncRNA from 12 species
AGGAGGAUGUGUCCAUUCAAGGGGUAGGCCAAUUGUUUGAUGAGUCCUGUACUAGGGAGUGACCAGGAUACUGAAGGAUUAGGUCCAGCUACUUGGACACAUCAAGUGAGGUGAGGCAAGGAAAGUGUAGCCUUGGACUUGUGUUCUGUUCUGUGGGAGGUGGCUAGAAUAGGGUGGGUGGUGACAGAUCCAGGCCAGAGGGUCUUCCCAGCUCUUGCCAUGCUCAGUGCAGGGCCAGUAGUUAGGUGAUUAUCUGACUCUUGGUUCCUCCUGGGGAGGAGCUUUGGGGAAAGACUACAGAGCCACCAAGGAAGAAGGCGAGACCCUAAGGGCCUGGUGAUACAGGGACCCCAAGUCCCUCGAAAGGAUUUUGAGCUGCUCUGAGUGAAGCACCUGGAAAGAUUUGUGUUUUUUUUGUCCUUAGAGAAAGGAAGAGAAGACAGUGUGGCAGAAAGAAGGGGGAGAGAGGGUGAGCAAGGCAGUGAAAACCUGAGUUCCCAGUGAGUGGUGGCCCGAGGGCAUGCGGUCACCGAGCAAUGUCUGACACACAAUUUGAAUGUAUGGUGUGCAGUGUGCUGUGGGAUCUGGCUCUGUGGACCGCCUCCCCCCGCCUCCUACCUGUCAGUGAACUGUGUGCCACUCACCCAUGUUUGCUAUGGAAGGUUCUGUGUGUGUGUGUGUGUGUGUGUGUGUGUGUGUUUGAGACAGAAAACUGGGGAAAAAAAGCUCAAGUUCAGGCUUGGCCAGGCUGAUGUGGUGCAGAACAGUGAAAGUACAAGGGGAGGAAAGCCCAGAAGGAGUAAUGGCCGUUUCCAGGGCUCUGUGUCUUUCCUGUUUCCUGUGCCAAGGUGGAAUAUUCUGGAAUGUGUCAGCUUGACUCUGGAACGUCUUCUAAGGUAUGCAGGACUUUCAUGGUCUGAUGUCCAAUUUUAUCAAUUCAUAGGCUUGAAAUUCAAUUGAAACUUAUCUGAGAUCACACAGUCUGUAAGUGGCAGGACAAUCUGCUGCCAGGCAGACAAGGGAUCCCUGCAAGCAACCAGUGUAUUUUGAGGUCCUGCCAAUCAGGAACCACUCUCUCUUGGACCUAGGAUGGACCCUCUUGGCCCAGGAGGUGCCUUCUGUAGAAGCUGCCACUUAUCUGCACAUUGUUUCCAAUAGAAGCCAUGUGAAAUCCACCAGGUCCCAGAAGAUCCUAGGAUAAUAUUCUUCCAUCCACUUGACCAUGCAGGCAGGGUGGCCACAGGAGCAGAUGAACCCACUAAACAGAACCUGGCACCCAUAGAUGAAGCUCUGAAAGUUGUAGGGGAGAGCUGUGGGCUUCCUGGAGGAGGCAGACUAAUGGAUUUCAAAGGAUGGUGGGACUUCAUUGUCCAAAGGAAGGUAUGAGUGCUGCACCUGUGGGAACCAUAAGCCCAGUGGAGGCAGGUAUGUGCAUGGUGUGGUGAUGGAUGAAGGGGGAGGAGGAGAGAGCAGUGGUUGAC